rnacentral:tRNA from 6 species
GGAGGGGUUCCCGAGUGGCCAAAGGGAUCAGACUGUAAAUCUGACGCGCAAGCUUCGCUGGUUCGAAUCCAGCCCCCUCCACCA